AGAACGAACGCUGGCGGCAUGCCUAAUACACGCAAGUCGAACGAACUCUUCGGAGUUAGUGGCGCACGGGUGCGUAACGCGUGGGAAUCUGCCCUUGGGUUCGGAAUAACAGUUGGAAACGACUGCUAAUACCGGAUGAUGACGAAAGUCCAAAGAUUUAUCGCCCAGGGAUGAGCCCGCGUAGGAUUAGCUAGUUGGUGAGGUAAAGGCUCACCAAGGCGACGAUCCUUAGCUGGUCUGAGAGGAUGAUCAGCCACACUGGGACUGAGACACGGCCCAGACUCCUACGGGAGGCAGCAGUAGGGAAUAUUGGACAAUGGGCGAAAGCCUGAUCCAGCAGUGCCGCGUGAGUGAUGAAGGCCUUAGGUUGUAAAGCUCUUUACCCGAGAUGAUAAUGACAGUAUCGGAGAAUAAGCCCCGGCUAACUCCGUGCCAGCAGCCGC
rnacentral:rRNA from 1 species